CCCUUAGAUAUCCUGGGCUGCACGCGUGCUACAAUUAGUAUUUCAAUUGGCUAAUCUGAAGAGCAUAUGAAUCCAAAAAUAUACUUUAAGUAGGGAUAAGAUAUUGUAAUUAUUUUCUUUGAACAAGGAAUUCCUAGUAAAGUUAAUUCAUUAUAUUAAUUUGAUUAUGUCCCUGCCCUUUGUACACACCGCCCGUCGCUCCUACUGAUUGGAUAGUCCGAUAAUUUUAGAAUAUAGUGAUCUAAGAAAAUCUAACUAUUUAGAGGAAGGAAAAGUCGUANCA
rnacentral:rRNA from 1 species